GUUGAGAUUUAUUGGCAUUCAAAAGUAUGAUUCACAAAUUGUAAGAGAAGCUGGCAAAGUCAUGUUUUUGCUGGCCUAUGGAAUGCACCGGAGAAUUCUUUGGACUUGCAUAUCUUCUGAUUCAUGUGUCAUAAUAAUAAUGUCUGUGUGAUUCUCAGUGAAUCAUGAAUGCGUGAUUAUGCUUUUACAAUAAAAUUUGUUUAUGAAGUCAGUGAAGAUAAUUCAUGAAUAACAUUGUCAAAAUUACUUUUAAUCACAUGAUUAACCUGCAACAACUAUGUAUAUUAUUUUUUAUGUGUUGGCUUAUUAUGUUCAAAAACUUUGUUUAUAAAAAGUACCCUAAAACUUAAAGUAUAAUAAUAAUAAAAAAACAAAAAAAACCUGAUUUUGCUAUUUAAUUUUUAAUUUACUUUAGAAAAUAAUGUAGCACAAUGUUAGAUUUAUUACAUAUGUAACAAUACUAUUUAAUGCUGCACAAUCAUAGCACAUAAUGUUUAUAACUAUAGCAUUUUAUGAACUGUCUUUGUGCUUUUAAAGAAAGAAAUAUCAUAAUCUUUAGUUUUAUUUAAGUGAAGGAUCAUGGAUUUGUUUUGACAUACUUUCUAAUAAUUAUAAUGUUUUCCUUUGUAAGCAUGUGUGCCUAAAUUCUCACUGAGGGCUUUCUAUACUGUGUAAAUAGCACAGAAAAUGUCUAUAUAGGAAUGUUUAAAAAACAUUUUCUGUUGCAUGUAACUCAAAAGAUACAUCUAAUAUGCAGUUAAAUUGAAUAAAAUAGUACUUUGUGAAUUAAAAAUUUAAGUAUUGGAAAACAUUGUCAUGCUUUUU
rnacentral:lncRNA from 1 species